UACGAAGGGGGCGAGCGUUGUUCGGAUUUACUGGGCGUAAAGGGCGCGCAGGCGGCGGACCAAGUCAGGCGUGAAAGCCCCGGGCUUAACCUGGGAGGUGCGUCUGGGACUGGUAUGCUAGAGUUCGGGAGAGGAGAGUGGAAUUCCCAGUGUAGAGGUGAAAUUCGUAGAUAUUGGGAAGAACACCGGUGGCGAAGGCGGCUUCCUGGACCGACACUGACGCUGAGGCGCGAAAGCUAGGGGAGCAAACGGG
rnacentral:rRNA from 1 species